UACGUAGGUGGCGAGCGUUGUCCGGAUUUACUGGGUGUAAAGGGCGCGUAGGCGGGGAUGCAAGUCAGAUGUGAAAUCUCCAGGCUCAACCUGGAAACUGCAUUUGAAACUGCAUUUCUUGAGUAUCGGAGAGGCAGGCGGAAUUCCGUGUGUAGCGGUGAAAUGCGUAGAUAUACGGAAGAACACCAGUGGCGAAGGCGGCCUGCUGGACGACAACUGACGCUGAGGCGCGAAAGCGUGGGGAGCAAACAGG
rnacentral:rRNA from 1 species